rnacentral:rRNA from 1 species
UACGUAGGGGGCAAGCGUUGUCCGGAAUUAUUGGGCGUAAAGAGCGUGUAGGCGGUCCGGUAAGUCGGUUGUGAAAGUCCAGGGCUCAACCCUGGGAUGCCGAUCGAUACUGCCGGACUAGAGUCCGGAAGAGGCGAGUGGAAUUCCCGGUGUAGCGGUGAAAUGCGCAGAUAUCGGGAGGAACACCAAUGGCGAAGGCAGCUCGCUGGGACGGUGCUGACGCUGAGACGCGAAAGCGUGGGGAGCAAACAGG